rnacentral:rRNA from 1 species
UACGAAGGGGGCGAGCGUUGCUCGGAUUUACUGGGCGUAAAGGGCGCGCAGGCGGCUCAUUUUGUCAGGCGUGAAAGCCCCGGGCUUAACCUGGGAACUGCGUUUGAUACGGAUGGGCUAGAGUUCGGGAGAGGAGAGUGGAAUUCCCAGUGUAGAGGUGAAAUUCGUAGAUAUUGGGAAGAACACCGGUGGCGAAGGCGGCUCUCUGGACCGAUACUGACGCUGAGGCGCGAAAGCGUGGGGAGCAAACAGG